UACAGAGGGUGCGAGCGUUGUCCGGAAUCACUGGGCGUAAAGGGCGCGUAGGCGGCGCGGUAAGCGUGCGGUGAAAGCCCGGGGCUCAACCCCGGGUCGGCCGUGCGGACUGCCGGGCUGGAGCACUGUAGAGGCAGGUGGAAUUCCGGGAGUAGCGGUGGAAUGCGUAGAGAUCCGGAAGAACACCGGUGGCGAAGGCGGCCUGCUGGGCAGUAGCUGACGCUGAAGCGCGACAGCGUGGGGAGCAAACAGG
rnacentral:rRNA from 1 species